rnacentral:rRNA from 1 species
CAAUAGCGUAUAUUAAAGUUGUUGCAGUUAAAAAGCUCGUAGUUGGAUUUCUGGAUGGAGCGACCGGUCGGGCAUUAAUUUGUCUGCACUGGAGUCGGUUCCGUCCAUCCUCUUGGAAAGUGCGUCGGGCAUUAAGUUGUUUGGCGUAUGAUCCAAGUCGUUUACUGUGAAAAAAUUAGAGUGUUUAAAGCAGGCCUUCGCCUUGAAUACAUUAGCAUGGAAUAAUAAGAUAGGACUUUGGUCUAUUUUGUUGGUUUGCAGACCGAAGUAAUGAUUAAUAGGGAUAGUUGGGGGUAUUUAUAUUCCGAUGUCAGAAGUGAAAUUCUUAGAUUUUCGGAAGAUAAACUUAUGCGAAAGCAUUUACCAAGGAUGUUUUCAUUAA